CAGCAGCCGCGGGAAUACAGAGGGUGCAAGCGUUAAUCGGAAUUACUGGGCGUAAAGCGCGCGUAGGUGGUUUGUUAAGUUGGAUGUGAAAUCCCCGGGCUCAACCUGGGAACUGCAUCCAAAACUGGCAAGCUAGAGUAUGGUAGAGGGUGGUGGAAUUUCCUGUGUAGCGGUGAAAUGCGUAGAUAUAGGAAGGAACACCAGUGGCGAAGGCGACCACCUGGACUGAUACUGACGCUCAUGCACGAAAGCGUGGGGAGCAAACAGGAUUAGAGACCCCCGUAGUCCCUGUCUCUUAUAC
rnacentral:rRNA from 1 species